rnacentral:lncRNA from 1 species
ACCGCUUUCUUCACCUCCACUUUUCCUUGGACUACAUCGUUCCACCACCAGUCACCCUGAUGUCUGCCUGAAUAGCCCUUGACUACCCCGAGCACAUCCUGUGCUACCUCCCUAACCAAGUUCGCCUUUUCUGACCACAUAGCAUUCGCUUCCCCAGAACUUCUCCAAGCUCCGCCCUCAGCUAACCUCCUCUCCAACUCCUGUGCUUUCUCUUUAGUCAAAACACCCCAUCUAAUCCGCAGUUUUCCCCGAGCACCCCUCCUCUUCCUCUUCACCCAGAGACUGACAUCCAUCACGAGGAGUCUAUGAAGAGUCGAAAGGGACUCUCCCGGAAUAACCUUGCAGUUCAACUAGCAUGCAUUCGAACUAAAAGAAAAGCAGAGUGUAAUAUUAUGGAUGCAAG